rnacentral:rRNA from 1 species
AAUCAACGCUGGCGGCGUGCCUCAGACAUGCAAGUCGAACGCGAAAUUUCCCUUCGGGGAGAAAGUAGAGUGGCGCACGGGUGAGUAACACGUGGGUAAUUUACCUUCGGGUGGGGAAUAACAACCGGAAACGGUUGCUAAUACCGCAUGAUGCAGCGGCACCACAUGGUGACAGUUGUUAAAGCGGGGGAUCGCAAGACCUCGCGCCUGAAGAGAAGCCCGCGGCAGAUUAGCUAGUUGGUAAGGUAAUGGCUUACCAAGGCAACGAUCUGUAGCCGGCCUGAGAGGGCGGUCGGCCACACUGACACUGAAUAACGGGUCAGACUCCUACGGGAGGCAGCAGUCGGGAAUUUUGGGCAAUGGGCGCAAGCCUGACCCAGCAACGCCGCG